AAGUCUAGAUACUUGUAUGCUUUUUUACCUUAAUUUACUUUUCAGGACAUAUUGAAGAAAGCUCAGCUUCUUUUCCCUCGUGCUAUGGUUGUUGAUUCAAUACAAACUCUUGAUUCUAUUAACACUUGGUCAGAGCAAAAGGUUAAGUUGAAUGAUGCCGAGCACAAGUUAAAAGAUCAAGGACGUCAACUAAAUGUUCAACAGAAAAGAAUUGGUUCUACUAAAAAGACAAUUCAUGUUUUGUAUAAAAAGUUGAAUCUCCCACUUCCUUCAAUC